UAGAGUUUGAUCAUGGCUCAGAUUGAACGCUGGCGGCAGGCCUAACACAUGCAAGUCGAGCGGCAGCGGGAAGUAGCUUGCUACUUUGCCGGCGAGCGGCGGACGGGUGAGUAAUGUCUGGGAAACUGCCUGAUGGAGGGGGAUAACUACUGGAAACGGUAGCUAAUACCGCAUGAUGUCGCAAGACCAAAGUGGGGGACCUUCGGGCCUCACGCCAUCGGAUGUGCCCAGAUGGGAUUAGCUAGUAGGUGGGGUAAUGGCUCACCUAGGCGACGAUCCCUAGCUGGUCUGAGAGGAUGACCAGCCACACUGGAACUGAGACACGGUCCAGACUCCUACGGGAGGCAACAGUGGGGAAUAUUGCACAAUGGGCGCAAGCCUGAUGCAGCCAUGCCGCGUGUGUGAAGAAAGCCUUAGGGUUGUAAAGCACUUUCAGCGAGGAGGAAGGCGUUGUAGUUAAUAGCUGCAACGAUUGACGUUACUCGCAGAAGAAGCACCGGCUAACUCCGUGCCAGCAGCCGCGGUAAUACGGAGGGUGCAAGCGUUAAUCGGAAUUACUGGGCGUAAAGCGCACGCAGGCGGUUUGUUAAGUCAGAUGUGAAAUCCCCGAGCUUAACUUGGGAACUGCAUUUGAAACUGGCAAGCUAGAGUCUUGUAGAGGGGGGUAGAAUUCCAGGUGUAGCGGUGAAAUGCGUAGAGAUCUGGAGGAAUACCGGUGGCGAAGGCGGCCCCCUGGACAAAGACU
rnacentral:rRNA from 1 species